rnacentral:rRNA from 1 species
ACAUGCAAGUCGAACGCACUCUCGUUUAAGAUUUGAAGGAGCUUGCUCCUGAUUGAUAACAUUUGAGUGAGUGGCGGACGGGUGAGUAACACGUGGGUAACCUGCCCUAAGUGGGGAUAACAUUUGGAAACAGAUGCUAAUACCGCAUAAAACCUAACACCGCAUGGUGUAGGUUGAAAGAUGGUUUCGGCUAUCACUUUAGGAUGGACCCGCGGUGCAUUAGUUAGUUGGUGAGGUAAGGGCUCACCAAGACCGUGAUGCAUAGCCGACCUGAGAGGGUAAUCGGCCACACUGGGACUGAGACACGGCCCAGACUCCUACGGGAGGCAGCAGUAGGGAAUCUUCCACAAUGGACGAAAGUCUGAUGGAGCAACGCCGCGUGAGUGAAGAAGGUUUUCGGAUCGUAAAACUCUGUUGUUGGAGAAGAAUGUAUCUGAUAGUAACUGAUCAGGUAGUGACGGUAUCCAACCAGAAAGCCACGGCUAACUACGUG